AUGCUCAACACAGCCGUUGUAGUUCUUCUUCCAAAGAAAGAUGACGCAGCCACAAUCACAGACUACAAGCCCAUUAGUCUUAUACACUCCAUAGAAAAAUUGAUCUCGAAAGUGCUCUCCCUCCGAUUAGCAAUGGUGAUCCAAACCUUGAUCUCACUGGUGCAGACGGCGUUCCCUCGAACCAAAUGCAUCCAUGACAGUUUCCUUUACGUA
rnacentral:rRNA from 1 species